GACGAACGCUGGCGGCGUGCUUAACACAUGCAAGUCGAACGGUAAGGCCCUGCUUUUGUGGGGUGCUCGAGUGGCGAACGGGUGAGUAACACGUGAGUAACCUGCCCUUGACUUUGGGAUAACUUCAGGAAACUGGGGCUAAUACCGGAUAGGAGCUCCUGCUGCAUGGUGGGGGUUGGAAAGUUUCGGCGGUUGGGGGUGGACUCGCGGCUUAUCAGCUUGGUGGUGGGGUAGUGGCUUACCAAGGCUUUGACGGGUAGCCGGCCUGAGAGGGUGACCGGCCACAUUGGGACUGAGAUACGGCCCAGACUCCUACGGGAGGCAGCAGUGGGGAAUAUUGCACAAUGGGCGGAAGCCUGAUGCAGCAACGCCGCGUGCGGGAUGACGGCCUUCGGGUUGUAAACCGCUUUCGCCUGUGACGAAGCGUGAGUGACGGUAAUGGGUAAAGAAGCACCGGCUAACUACGUG
rnacentral:rRNA from 1 species